ACUUUCAAAGGAUAGCAGCAAUCCACUAAUCUUAGGCAUUAACUCCCUUGGUGCAACUCCAAGUGAAAGUA
rnacentral:tRNA from 1 species